rnacentral:rRNA from 1 species
ACAGAGGGUGCGAGCGUUAAUCGGAAUUACUGGGCGUAAAGCGCACGUAGGUGGCGACGUAUGUCGGUUGUGAAAGCCCCGGGCUUAACCUGGGAAGUGCAUUGCAAACUGUCUGGCUAGAGUAUAUGAGAGGGUGGCGGAAUUUCCGGUGUAGCGGUGAAAUGCGUAGAGAUCGGAAGGAACGUCAAUGGCGAAGGCAGCCACCUGGCAUAAUACUGACGCUGAGGCGCGAAAGCGUGGGGAGCGAACAGGA